UACAGAGGUCCCAAGCGUUGCUCGGAUUCACUGGGCGUAAAGGGUGCGUAGGCGGUCGGGUAAGUCUGAUGUGAAAUCUCACAGCUUAACUGUGAAACUGCAUUGGAUACUAUCCGGCUCGAGGAAUGGAGGGGAGACUGGAAUACUUGGUGUAGCAGUGAAAUGCGUAGAUAUCAAGUGGAACACCAGUGGCGAGGGCGAGUCUCUGGACAUUUCCUGACGCUGAGGCACGAAAGCCAGGGGAGCAAACGGG
rnacentral:rRNA from 1 species